rnacentral:tRNA from 1 species
GGGGGUAUAGCCCAGGUACAGUGCAUGCUUAGCAUGCACGAGGCCCUGGGUUCAACCCCCAGCACCUCCA